GUCCUAGCCCUAAACGAUCAGGACUUGGGGUGCAUCCCGUUGGGGGUGCGUCCCGUAGCUAACGCGUUAAGUCCUGCGCCUGGGGAGUACGGUCGCAAGACUGAAACUCAAAGGAAUUGACGGGGGCCCGCACAAGCGGUGGAACAUGUGGUUCAAUUCGACGCAACGCGAAGAACCUUACCUGGGCUUGAACCGCUACUGACCAGCGGUGGAAACAUCGCCUUCUCGCAAGAGACAGUAGUAGAGGUGCUGCAUGGCUGUCGU
rnacentral:rRNA from 1 species